GUAACAAGGUUUCCGUAGGUGAACCUGCGGAAGGAUCAUUACCGAGUGCGGGCCCUCUGGGUCCAACCUCCCAUCCGUGUCUAUCUGUACCCUGUUGCUUCGGCGUGGCCACGGCCCGCCGGAGACUAACAUUUGAACGCUGUCUGAAGUUUGCAGUCUGAGUUUUUAGUUAAACAAUCGUUAAAACUUUCAACAACGGAUCUCUUGGUUCCGGCAUCGAUGAAGAACGCAGCGAAAUGCGAUAAUUAAUGUGAAUUGCAGAAUUCAGUGAAUCAUCGAGUCUUUGAACGCACAUUGCGCCCCCUGGUAUUCCGGGGGGCAUGCCUGUCCGAGCGUCAUUGCUGCCCUCAAGCACGGCUUGUGUGUUGGGCUUCCGUCCCUGGCAACGGGGACGGGCCCAAAAGGCAGUGGCGGCACCAUGUCUGGUCCUCGAGCGUAUGGGGCUUUGUCACCCGCUCCCGUAGGUCCAGCUGGCAGCUAGCCUCGCAACCAAUCUUUUUAACCAGGUUGACCUCGGAUCAGGUAGGGAUACCCGCUGAACCUAAGCAUAUC
rnacentral:misc_RNA from 3 species